AUGGAUGAAGGACUCAGGGAGACCCUUUAUCCCACUCCCGCACUACCCGCUCCCUGCCCAGGGCAAGGUCAAUGGGAAGGUGCGUGGGAGGUGACUCGCUCUAUGAAACAAAAGUCAGCACUAUGCCAGCACCCACCCCUCCGCAUGGAUGCUCACGGGUGUCUGGGACCCUGCCCACCUCCCCAAGCCCACAUCCCUGUGAUGAACCCUCAGGAAGAAUCAAAACAGAGGCACAGGGCCUUGUGGAUGGACUCUGCCCCUGCUCCGAGGCCCCAAGAGUCAAGAGUCAAAAAUAUUCUUUGUGCAAUAUCCAUAAAGCACAGGAGAGGACUCCCAGUCCCAGAGUCCACCAGACACCAACACAGAUCCUGGCCGCUCUGCCCGCCUCUAAUUGCUUUCCUCCUUGCUCCGCUUCACUGUGUGAACACUGAGGUUUUCUUUGGAAAAGGCACCAGGCUCACGGUUGUAGACGAUCUGAGCCGGGUGCACCCGCCCAAGGUGGCUGUGUUCGAACCCUCGGAAGCAGAGAUCUCCCGGACCCAGAAGGCCACCCUCGUGUGCCUGGCCACGGGCUUCUACCCCGACCACGUGGAGCUGACCUGGUGGGUGAACAGGAAGCAGGUCACCACUGGGGUCAGCACGGACCCUGAGCCCUACAAAGAGGACCUCACGCAGAAUGACUCCAGAUACUGUCUGAGCAGCCGGCUGAGGGUGACCGCCACCUUCUGGCACAACCCCCGCAACCACUUCCGAUGCCAAGUCCAGUUCUACGGGCUCACGGACGAGGACCAGUGGGAGGAGCAGGACAGGGACAAGCCUGUCACCCAGAACAUCAGCGCCGAGACCUGGGGCAGAGCAGACUGUGGCGUCACCUCCGCGUCUUAUCAGCAAGGCGUCCUGUCUGCCACCCUCCUCUAUGAGAUCCUGCUGGGGAAGGCCACCCUGUACGCUGUGCUGGUCAGCGCCCUGGUGCUGAUGGCCAUGGUCAAGAGAAAAGAUUCCUGAAGCCAGCUUCCAGCCUGUUACUGCCCUGAUGGGAAUUCUGCUUUUCCCGUUCCUACGCAGUGCUUCUGAAGAGCUGCCCUCAUCUCUGGACUCAGCCCAGCGUCCACCCCCAUGUGCAGGGUGCCCCAAACUCUCAGGACCAGGAUCUCCCUAACCCAGGGGAGACCCUAGGGGGACUGAACUUACUGAACCAAUAAAAAUGGUCUGUUGUGUUCACUGUG
rnacentral:lncRNA from 1 species